AUGUGUGUGUGUGUGUGUGUAUACAAAGGGCAAACCUGCUGCUUCUUUGGUGCUUUGUUGCCCUUAGAGCUUCCUUCACCCUAUUGAUUCUUAAUGGUUGGGCAACCUCUCUUGUUGUGUCCCUUCUGCUUACAUAUCAUACAUGUCAUCUUUGUUCCAUAAAGGUUUCUAGACAUCUUGCUUGCAUCAGGGGCAGGUGGUGCUUUUCCC
rnacentral:lncRNA from 1 species